AAUUAAUAAACAAAAGUGAUUUUAUUAAGUAUAAAAAGUAGGAUUUAAGUGGUUUCAAGUAAUAACAGACAGAACAAAGUAAGUUACCAAGCAAAAUAACAAAACAUGCAAGUCUAAGCCUAAUACAUUAAGAAACUGUUUACAGGUAAAUCUCACUCUCAGAGAUGUUCCAAUAAGCUUCUUUCACAGACUAGACUUCUUCCUAGUCUGGGCCCAAUCCUUUCCCCCAAUCCUCUGGAUACAGUCCUUGUUAGUUCCAGCAGGCAUCUUAGGUGAAAAGCAGGGGCUUUCUCAGUUGUCCUAGUCAAUGGGAGCCAUCAAGAUUCUAAACCAUCAACAAUGGCCCACACUUUGCAUAAUUACAGUAGUACCCCAGAGUUAUACUUUAUAUUCCUAGUUUCAGAUACAAGAAUGAUACAUUCAUACAAAUAGGAUGAAUAUACUCUGUAGAUUAUAAGCUUUGUAAUGAUACCUUGCAAGAGACCUUUUGCAUAAAGCAUAUUCCAGUUAUAUUAUAUUCACAUUCAUAAGCAUAUAUCCAGAAAACAUUAUGGAGUGCAACGUCAUAGAAGGGAAUCCUCUUAGGAAGGCAUUUGAGACUAGAGUUCUUGGGCAGAGAACAAGAGGCUGGCCAAGAAAUCAGUGGAUAGACUGUGUACAGGAGGACAGAGUUGAUAUGGAGUGAUUGUUGGACCGACAAGCCUGGAAAAGACUGAUCUGGUGACCUGAACCUAAGUAGCUAGGAAAAAUUUAAGAAGACAGACAAACAAAUGCCAUUGAGUUGAGUGUAAGGACUCACAAGGUUGGCCGAAAAGCCAGCAUAGACACUCCCCAAAUAUUUGUUCCAGGACACACACAUUUGUAGUUUAUCUUAGGACUUGUCUACACUUAAAAAGUUUUACCAGCAUAACUAUGCUGGUUAACAAUGUGAUUUCUUUUGCAACAUAGCUAUGCCAAUAAAAGCCCUAGAAUAGAUGCAGUUAUACAAACACAGCUUUUCAUUUGAAUUAAGCAAACGUCUUUGUCUUCGGUUUCCUGUGUUCAGCUUUCAGUGCUUAGGGCUUUGUUCUAUCCUUUGUAAACUCUCCCAGAUGCCUGGUUUCAUCUCUGAAAAUUCUCAGCAUUUCUGAAAAGCAAGGAAGUGAGCAAAACACUGAUGUUUCUUUGAAGGCGAUUCAGGUUAGAGGUCCUAACUGCAUAUAUGACAGUCUCUCAAGUUGUCUGGGUUUCCUCUGAUCUUUCUCAGAAUUGCUUUGGCAAACGUGAGCAGUGAAUUGCAGAGAAAGCGCUGCUUUUUACCAGAAGUGAAACAUGAGAUAGAAAGGUUUCAGAUUAUCAGUGAAACUAUUCUACACUUAGUCUUAAAAUUAAAUGGGAGCCUAACUUUUAAAAAUGUAUACCCUCAACCUGCAUUUUGUUCUAUCACUUCUGUUUGUUGGCAGCAGCAACUUCUUGAUGUAUGGAGAACCAACUUUAUUGGCAACAUGUCCGAUGGUUUAAUUGGUGUGCAGGGCUUUGCAUAGUUCCUCUGCACUGGUGUGAAUUUUGUUCUGGCCAAGAUCAAUAGAAAAGUGUGUUCUUUGCACUCCACUCCAAAAUAUAUAAUUCAUUAAGAUCAGAAUGUGAGCACAGUUGGCAGAUAAAAAGGAUGGCUAAACUAAAUUUGCCUGAGAGUAGUGCAUGCUGUGGGCUGGAGGAAAUUAGUACAAAACAUUACAACUGCUGCCUCUGUACUGAGCAGCAGUUGGCAGCAUAUACUUUUUGUCAUCUUCAGACAUUUUGCCCAAUCAUGACUAUAUGAUUGUGACAUUCUGUACCUUGGGGGAGCACCCUGUAACCCCCCAUAUUCCUCAUCUGCAUCUAAUUGUGAUAUUACUUUACAAGCCAUGCUUUAUAUGUAUCAGGGGAAAGGUUAUGAUCUGAUGAAAGUCAUUUCUCUAUCCAUAUAUGUAUAUCAGUAAUGCAUAUGAAGUUAUAAGAAUUGUGUUGUAUGGUUGUCAAAACACUCUGUAAGUUGGGGAAUCAGCUAGAUAUUAGCUCCCCAGAGGCAACAGCAAGGAAAGUAACCAACUCCCGGGCGGGGUGUGAAACAAUCCAUCAACAGUCAUUGUCCAGCAAGGGAGCUACAAUGCAAUGACUCACCUGCAUGAGGUCACACCAGGGGAAUUGCUCAACCUUGCUUGGAGAGACUCAGCAAUACCCCCAGAUAUGCAUGGGCUUGUGUUUUCCAAGCACAUGGACUAGGGUAUAAAACAGACAGAGUGGACACAUACUGGGCCACACACAUUUCAAAGGUGAAAUCUGUAUACUAUGGACUGCAAUAUCCAGUGGGGUGAGAAAAACUGCUUUAUCUAGAUGUUGCCCAGUCUAAUAGGAUUGAGAAUUUAGACUGCGUGCUUAUAUUUUAUUUCUUUUGGUAACUAACUCUGAAUUUUUGCCUAUCACCUACUAUCACUUAAAAUCUAUCUUUUAUAGUCAACAAAUUUGUUUAAUUUUUUUUUUACCAGUGAGUUGGUAUGAAGUGUGGGGGCAAAUCUGCUCAGGUUUGACAAAGGCUGGUGUAUGUCCACUUUCCGUUGCUGAAGUGGUGAACCAAUUAAUAAAUUAGAUGGUAUAUUCCUGGGGUACAGUACUUGGAGCUGCGUGGGGGAGAGGGGGCCAGAGGGCAGAUUUGGCUGGUGCCUUUCUCUGUGUGAUUCAUAAGUGGCUCUGGGAUCAUCCAUGCAAUCUAGCUGGGUGUGGGGCUCCACAUGCUGUUGUGCUGAGUGAUCACGGUGCCUGGAGGGGUUUGCUGCUGGUCACUAGCAAGGCACUGUGAGAGACAGCCCUGGCUGGAGAGAGUUAAGGGAGCACAGCGGUCCCACAGUCCCAGGCUGCAUGCUUGGGAGAUCCCUUCUUUUUUGUUUACUAGUGCUGUAUCUGAAUUAGAUUCAGCCCAGGGUUGUGCUGACAUUUACCGAGUGCCUCAAGAGGAGCUAUCUACCUUCAAUUCCCAUUGCUUUGUGUGGUGAGGGAUUCCGCCCCUACAGGAGAUAUUGAGCAGUUCACAGCAUCAGCCCUGUAAAAUAUAGAACCAGGAUCCAGCCUCUCUGCUGGGCUCUGCUUCUCUAUAUUAUAGGGCUGGCCUAUGCACUCUUUAAACAAAUACAAGCUGUUCCGUCCCCUCAUUCAGGGCCCUCUGCCAUGACUAUGGACACACUCUCACUGUGUUUCUGUUUGCACCAUUGGCAAUGCUAGCUGGGAACAUUGCUCAGUAGUGCCAAAGACAAACGUUCAAAAAAUCAUCAAUUAGGCCCCAAACCAUGAGAUUGGUUUAAGACUCAUGCUAUUUUUUUAAAAUAACACAUUUUGUGUUCUCUUUAUGUGCCUCUUGGUUUCUGAGCCUUUAGCGUGCACACAGAUCAUAUUUUUAAGCUUUUCUCUGAAACUACAUGGGCUGGAAACUUAUUUAUAAGAGAAUCUCAGUGUUUUAACAUGACUUCAGGAGCUAGGGCUUUAAGUAAAAUGCCAAAUCUCAUUAGACUUGCGAUAAAAUCAUGAGAGUUGGGAAUGCUGGUUCGUAGAGCUCCCCAUUGCCACUGUACCUGGUCUCUACAAGGGUAAACAAGUUAUGGAGAAGGCUCUGUGGUCCCUCUUCCUUAUCCCCCUUUGCACACUUAAUCUGUCCUUUAAUGUUCAUCUAGUAAAUAACCAUCUCAGCAUCUGCCAUUCCCCAGAAGUCCUAUGGGCCACCACAGCUACAAUUCUGAACAGAAGAGGCGAUGGAGUGUCCAAGGCCUUGUCUAGAUGACGAAAAAGGUGCUUUUUUCAAUAGAGUGUACUCAGUUGAGCUAAUUCAACUCAACUGAAACCCCCACUUAACCCAUGUAGACAUCUUUAGCUUGAUUUUUAGCAGAUUAAAUUAUAGUCUAAGCAGGACUCUAAGGCUGUCUUCAUCACUAAAAGAGGUAUGUUUUUACACGGAGGUAACUGACUUGAGUUUGCAACCUUAAUGUAAAAUCCUAGCAGAGACAAUGAAUGGGUGAUUUUUACCUCAGUGUAGGUAGCUGAGGUUCAAUACUAUGCCCUCUACCUGGGGUUGACCUCAACUAGCUACACUGAGGUAAAAACUACCUGUGUAUUGUCUCCACUAGGAUUUUACAUUGAUAGAGUUAUCUUGACAUAAAGGCACACAUUUUUCCAGGGAAAACAUAGCCUAAGACAUAGCUUGCAAAAACUGAGCUAAAGGUUUUAAGCUGCGCCUACAGUGACAUUAACUGGGGCUUUUAAUGGACUUAACUAUUUAAAUGAGCUAACUUAGUGGAGGUUAAAAAAACAAUCUUUUUUCCCUAGUCUAAACAAGGCUUGAGUAGUUCAUGGUGAAUCCUUCUGAAGAGCAGAGUUGCUUGAAAGCAUUUUUUAAAAAAUUUCUCAAUAAACUGACCUCUCUGCUGAACAAGUGCAGCCUAGUAUCUAUAAUUUUCCAGAGCUUCUGCAGCUUAGAAUUUUUUGGACUUAGUAUUUAAGUUGAAGUUUAAUUCACUCUUGUUCCUGAAUAAAUUGUCAUUUGGAGGGUUGUAUUUUUGCUAUUAAUUCAAGCAAAAAUUGAAACCUUCCCAACAACCCAGAACAUUAAUAGGAUUUUCAAGAAUGUCAGACAUUUUAUCUGAUCAGAAAUUAUUCCUUUUCUAUUGGAAUACAUUGAAACAAUUGUGUUAAUCAGGACUCAAACCAUGCUACUAUUUUCAAUAGAAAACAUUAAUUUAAUGAUUUAAAAAUGUAUUCACAGAUAUACCAGAUAUUCUAAAUGUACCUUGAGUAAGAGUUCUUUAGGGCAAGGAUUAUCUAAAAGCAGAGACAUAACCAUGAGGUACAUUUUCAUAGCUGCAUCAACGUCAGAGAUGGAAACAGCCUGCAGGACUGGGGGAGCUACCUAUGCUGUAGCUGUUUUGUAACUGUUCAGUGGCUGGAAUUCCCGUAAUGGUCAAUGGUAUUUCAAUACAUAGAUUCAAUACACUGCUAGGAGUGUCUUUUAAGAAAGAUAAAUUAUGGGAUGUAACAGGUGACCCAAGAAGUGUGAGAAAAUUUUGCAUGGGGAGGUUGUAGUGAUUGGGAUGGAUGACAUU